UAGACGAACGAGUCACAUGACUGAUCCCUCCUCUUCGGUCUGUAACCGUGUGUGUCUCGUGUGUCUCGUGUAUGUGUGUCUUUUUGCAUAUUUAUCUGCAGCUGAUCUCGGAGGACUUCAACGACCAUGGACAUUUCAUUUGCAGGCAAAAGAGCUCUUGUAACCGGAGCAGGAAAAGAAAAAUCCAAAGUUGUGAAAUGUGUCCAAACACAACCAGUCAUACAACUACAUUAUAGGAUUGGCAGGGCCACGGCUCUGGCUCUGGCACGCUGCGGGGCAAAGGUCACAGCGGUCACACGCACGCAGGCUGACCUGAACAGCCUGGUGCAGGAGUGUGCCUCCAUCACCCCGGUGUGUGUGGACUUGGCAGACUGGGGGGCCACGGAGGCGGCCCUGCAGGACGUCGGCCCCAUCGAUCUGCUGGUGAAUAAUGCUGCCUUUGCCAGUCUGCAGCCGUUUCUUGAGGUCACGCCCAACCAGUUUGACCAGUCAUUCAACGUGAAUGUGAAAGCUGUGCUGCAUGUCUCCCAGAUAGUGGGCCGGGGUAUGAAGGCCAGAGGAGCAGGAGGCUCCAUCGUCAGCGUGUCCAGCCAGGCCUCGCAGUGCGCCCUCAGAGACCACGCUGUCUACUGUGUCACUAAAGCAGCCCUGGACAUGCUGACUAAAGUCAUGGCUCUGGAGCUGGGACCCCACCAGAUCCGUGUGAACAGUGUGAACCCCACUGUGGUGAUGACUGACAUGGGUCGCCUGGGCUGGAGCGACCCCGAAAAAGCCAAGACCAUGACGUCCCGCAUCCCCCUCGGCCGCUUUGCAGCUUAAAGAUCCCCAUCUGUACCGUCAGGAGCUCAUCCCAACAAAAACUAUUUUUAGAAGACUGAUAUUAAUCUCAAAAUAUUGUUCUAGGAUUCUACAUGGAACUGCUCCCAGAGGUGGAGGACGUGGUGAACAGUAUUUUAUUCCUGCUGAGUGAUAAGAGCAACAUGACUAAUGGAGUCACUCUGCCGGUGGACGGAGGCUUCCUGGCAUGCUGAGCAACAUGAGUCUCA